rnacentral:rRNA from 1 species
UCUUUUUUCAAGGAAGAAGUCCUGACGGUACUUGAAGAAUCAGCAUCGGCUAACUCCGUGCCAGCAGCCGCGGUAAUACGGAGGAUGCAAGCGUUAUCCGGAAUCAUUGGGCGUAAAGCGUCCGCAGGUGGCUUAUCAAGUCUGCUGUUAAAGACAGAAGCUCAACUUCUGAACAGCGGUGGAAACUGGUAGGCUAGAGUACGGUAGGGGUUGAGGGAAUUCCCAGUGUAGCGGUGAAAUGCGUAGAUAUUGGGAAGAACACCAGUGGCGAAGGCGCUCAACUGGGCCGUAACUGACACUCAGGAC